rnacentral:lncRNA from 1 species
UCAAUUAUUGGAGCGCGAUAAUGAGUCAACCCAUACCAGUGGUAGCAGUCAUCGAAGCGGUGACAACAAACGUGGAGGGAAUCAACAUACCAAAAAUGGUAACCACUUCGGUGGUAAUCAUGACUAAGACAAUAAAAGUGGAAAUUUCAAGAAGAGGAGAUUCAAUAAUGAUGGAAAGACGUCAGCACCAGCACCUAUUUUCAAGGAAGGAGAACGACCACCGAUCGUAUGCUUCAAGUGCGGAG